GACGAACGCUGGCGGCGUGCUUAACACAUGCAAGUCGAACGGAAAGGCCCUUCGGGGUACUCGAGUGGCGAACGGGUGAGUAACACGUGGGUGAUCUGCCCCUGACUUUGGGAUAAGCCUGGGAAACUGGGUCUAAUACCGGAUAUGACCAUGGGAUGCAUGUCUUGUGGUGGAAAGCUUUUGCGGUUGGGGAUGGGCCCGCGGCCUAUCAGCUUGUUGGUGGGGUAAUGGCCUACCAAGGCGACGACGGGUAGCCGACCUGAGAGGGUGAUCGGCCACACUGGGACUGAGACACGGCCCAGACUCCUACGGGAGGCAGCAGUGGGGAAUAUUGCACAAUGGGCGGAAGCCUGAUGCAGCGACGCCGCGUGAGGGAUGACGGCCUUCGGGUUGUAAACCUCUUUCGCCAGGGACGAAGCCGCUUGCGGUGACGGUACUUGGAGAAGAAGCACCGGCCAACUACGUG
rnacentral:rRNA from 1 species